AAAUUGAAGAGUUUGAUCAUGGCUCAGAUUGAACGCUGGCGGCAGGCCUAACACAUGCAAGUCGAACGGUAACAGGAAACAGCUUGCUGCUUUGCUGACGAGUGGCGGACGGGUGAGUAAUGUCUGGGAAACUGCCUGAUGGAGGGGGAUAACUACUGGAAACGGUGGCUAAUACCGCAUAAUGUCGCAAGACCAAAGAGGGGGACCUUCGGGCCUCUUGCCAUCAGAUGUGCCCAGAUGGGAUUAGCUGGUUGGUGAGGUAACGGCUCACCAAGGCGACGAUCCCUAGCUGGUCUGAGAGGAUGACCAGCCACACUGGAACUGAGACACGGUCCAGACUCCUACGGGAGGCAGCAGUGGGGAAUAUUGCACAAUGGGCGCAAGCCUGAUGCAGCCAUGCCGCGUGUAUGAAGAAGGCCUUCGGGUUGUAAAGUACUUUCAGCGGGGAGGAAGGUGUUGCGGUUAAUAACCGCAGCAAUUGACGUUACCCGCAG
rnacentral:rRNA from 1 species